GUACAAUAAGCCAGUCUUCAUUUAUGCCGACCCCUUAGUUCAACAUCUUCCGAUAUCGAAGGACAAGCUAGGCUUGGACGUACACGACAUCAAACAGCUUCCCAACUUUCAAGUUUGCGCAUUGCAAGCUUACAGAGGAUCCGGCGUGGUACAUUCAUAGUACGCAUUGGGACAACACAUUUAAGGCGUUUUUUGUGUCAAGCAGGCAUAGUGAGGGCUUCAUUUCUGCUGCGCUCUGUAACACAUUAUGCUCGUUGUUAGCUCCAGGUCGGCAAGGAGAACCGACUUAUAAGUGGCUUGUCCCGCAUGUAUGGCAAGGUUCAAAGAGUCAUCGAUAACUCUCUAGAUCCGAGCGGCUCGACGAGGCUUGAAAACCCAAGGAAUCAUCGACGUCAGCCCAAAAACAACAAGACAUACGGAUAUAAACGUGCUACCAGACAGAAAGGAUCACUCUAGGAGGCACCAGCAACUGUUACAACAACACAGAACACGUGGAAACGAAGCCACCACCAGAAGAAACGAGCAGCGCCCUAGGACAAGCUAGUAAUCUUCCAGUUUGACAGGAAUCAGAUCACAGACAAGGCUGGACUUUUGCCAUCUCUCUUGGGCCUAUUUUUUGCGAAGAAAGCAUGGGUAUGAGCAGUUUCCCAAACAGACAUUUGGUUUGAUCAGCUCAAAAGCCUGGAACAGAGGAUAGCCCAGUUUGUUUUCAGCUGAGGAAACAGUGGUUGGUCAAAGUUGGGAGUAGUUGUGUGCCAGGACCAUUCAGGUGUCUAGUGUACUCUCAUCAAGACAGCAAAAAGGUACAACGGCCAGAACCCUCAAGGGCAUAUAUCCGCCGCUUCGCGUUUCGUCAGCUAGACAGGCAGCCACGGGAACUUUGCCUACCAUUGAUCACAGCCGUUGGGAGUUGGGAGGACUCCUCAAUUACAUCACUGCCCCUGGUGCCUCUGGCUCAGCUGUUGAAGUCACCCUUGCCUUCCUCAAACUCAGCCUUGCAGCAGGAUUACCGAAAUUUAGAGGCGUGCCUUCC